UACAGAGGGUGCAAGCGUUAAUCGGAAUUACUGGGCGUAAAGCGCACGUAGGUGGAUGCUUAAGUCGAAUGUGAAACCCCCGAGCUUAACUUGGGGACUGCAUGCGAUACUGGGUGUCUAGAGUAUAGUAGAGGGAAGUGGAAUUUCCGGAGUAGCGGUGAAAUGCGUAGAUAUCGGAAGGAACACCAGUGGCGAAGGCGGCUUCCUGGCCUGUUCUUGACGCUGAGGCGCGAAAGCUAGGGGAGCAAACGGG
rnacentral:rRNA from 1 species